GGAGUUAGCCGGUGCUUCUUCUGUGAGUGAUGUCCUUCCUGCCGGUUAUUGACCCGCAGGCCUUCUUCCUCACUGAAAGUGCUUUACAACCCGAAGGCCUUCUUCACACACGCGGCAUGGCUGGAUCAGGGUUGCCCCCAUUGUCCAAUAUUCCCCACUGCUGCCUCCCGUAGGAGUCUGGGCCGUGUCUCAGUCCCAGUGUGGCUGAUCAUCCUCUCAGACCAGCUACGGAUCGUCGCCUUGGUGAGCCGUUACCUCACCAACCAGCUAAUCCGACAUAGGCUCAUCCGAUAGCGCGAGGCCCGAAGGUCCCCCGCUUUCCCCCGUAGGGCGUAUGCGGUAUUAGCCUGGGUUUCCCCAGGUUAUCCCCCACUACCGGGCAGAUUCCCUAUGCAUUACUCACCCGUCCGCCGCUCGCCACCAGGGAGCAAGCUCCCCGUGCUGCCGCUCGACUUGCAUGUGUUAGGCCUGCCGCCAGCGUUCAAUCUGAGCCAGAAUCAAAACUCUGA
rnacentral:rRNA from 1 species